GUCCCUUACUAUUUUCGGCAGCUUGCUUUUGAAAUCAGCAACCCUACUGAUAAAAUGAUCCAAUCAGUCCUUCCCAGUUGUCAAGACAACAGUUCAUAAUUGUACCAGCUCUUUUCAUUGCAGCUAGACAUUUCAUAAAUAGAUAAUUCUCUAAUUGAUCCAGCCAAUCCUACUUUGCAUACCCUGCCAAACUAGUUCUACUGGUGGAUGUAUGACAUGUAGAGCUGUCCACAGAGGUAUUCCUGUUGAGGAAGAAGAUGGAGGGGGGCUGGAGCCUGGGAAGGCAAACUAUGACAACAACAGCCACCAAGCGAAGGAAAGAGAAAUAGUGAUGGUAAGGAAUGAAAGAGCAAAGAGGGUGUUCUUCUAAAGGGUGCCACUCAUUAAAGGAAAAGAAAACCCCUCCAAACUUCUUUAAUUAUAUUUGUAAGGGCAAAAGUAACACAUAGCACAAAUGCUUCUGUCAUGAGAACAUUUUCAGUUCAAGACAAAAUAAGAGCAGUUCCUCAGCACUAGUACUGGUGCUAACUACAAGUGCAAUAGCAAAAGCUACAGUAGGUGGAACAUUUAUGUCUGGGUUCUUUUACCUUUCGUGAGCAGGCUUUCUUUUACUUCUACUUAUAGCAGUGUACAUUGAUUGUUCUUUGACGAACAUGUUAUAGUAAUAGCCCACUGAAACUUGUAUUAUUGCUGUCCUCUUGUUUUUGAAGGGAAA
rnacentral:lncRNA from 1 species